GUAGGGAAUCUUCCGCAAUGGACGCAAGUCUGACGGAGCAACGCCGCGUGAGUGACGAAGGUUUUCGGAUCGUAAAACUCUGUUGUGAGGGAAGAACACGUACCAACUAACUAUUGGUACCUUGACGGUACCUCACCAGAAAGCCACGGCUAACUACGUGCCAGCAGCCGCGGUAAUACGUAGGUGGCAAGCGUUGUCCGGAAUUAUUGGGCGUAAAGCGCGCGCAGGCGGUUCCUUAAGUCUGAUGUGAAAGCCCACGGCUCAACCGUGGAGGGUCAUUGGAAACUGGGGAACUUGAGUGCAGAAGAGGAAAGUGGAAUUCCACGUGUAGCGGUGAAAUGCGUAGAGAUGUGGAGGAACACCAGUGGCGAAGGCGACUUUCUGGUCUGUAACUGACGCUGAGGCGCGAAAGCGUGGGGAGCAAACAGGAUUAGAAACCCUUGUAGUCC
rnacentral:rRNA from 1 species